rnacentral:rRNA from 1 species
CCUACGGGUGGCAGCAGUGAGGAAUAUUGGUCAAUGGCCGGAAGGCUGAACCAGCCAUGCCGCGUGAAGGUCAGUGCCCUAUGGCCGGUAAACUUCUUUUGUGCGGGAGCAAUAAUGGUCACGUGUGGCCAGACGAGGGUCCCGUACGAAUAAGCAUCGCCUAACUCCGUGCCAGCAGCCGCGGUAAUAGGGGGGGUGCAAGCGUUAUCCGGAUUUAUUGGGGUUAAAGGGUGCGUAGGCGGUGAGGUAAGUCAGCGGUGAAAUGCCCCCGCUCAACGGGGUGAAGUGCCAUUGAUACUGCCUUGCUGGAAUGCGGAUGCGGUGAGAGGAAUGUGUGGUGUAGCGGUGAAAUGCAUAGAUAUCAGACAGAACACCGAUUGCGAAGGCAUCUCACGAAUCCGCGAUUGACGCUGAGGCACGAAAGCGUGGGUAUCAAACAGGAUUAGAUACCCGAGUAGUC